rnacentral:rRNA from 1 species
UGGAGGGCAAGUCUGGUGCCAGCAGCCGCGGUAAUUCCAGCUCCAAUAGCGUAUAUUAAGGUUGUUGCAGUUAAAAAGCUCGUAGUUGAACCUUGGGCCUGGCUGGCCGGUCCGCCUCACCGCGUGCACUGGUUCCGCCGGGCCUUUCCCUCUGGGGAACCCUAUGGUCUUCACUGAUCGUAGCGGGGAACCAGGACUUUUACUGUGAAAAAAUUAGAGUGUUCAAAGCAGGCCUAUGCUCGAAUACAUUAGCAUGGAAUAAUAAAAUAGGACGUGUGGUUCUAUUUUGUUGGUUUCUAGGACCGCCGUAAUGAUUAAUAGGGACAGUCGGGGGCAUCAGUAUUCAAUUGUCAGAGGCGAAAUUCUCAGAUUUAUUGAAGACUAACUAUUGCGAAAGCAUUUGCCAAGGAUGUUUUCCUUAAUCAGGAACGAAACUUAGGGGAUGGAUGGCGAUCAGAUACCGUGGUAGUGUUACCCAUAAGAUAGACGGAUUAGGGAUCGCGCGGUGUCAUUUUUGACCCGUUUGGCACCUUACGGGAAAC